rnacentral:rRNA from 1 species
CCUACGGGUGGCAGCAGUGAGGAAUAUUGGUCAAUGGGCGCGAGCCUGAACCAGCCAAGUAGCGUUAAGGAUGAAUGCCAUACAGGUAGUAAACUUCUUUUAUAAAGGAAUAAAGUGAGGCACGUGUGCCUUUUUGUAUGGACUUUAUGAAUAAGGAUCGGCUAAGUUCGUGCCAGCAGCCGCGGUAAUACGGAGGUUCCGAGCGUUAUCGGGAUUGAUUGGGUGUAAAGGGAGCGUAGAUGGGUUGUUAAGUCAGUUGUGAAAGUUUGCGGCUCAACCGUAAAAUGGCAAUUGAUACUAGCAGUCGUGAGUACAGUAGAGGAUGGCAGAAUUCGUGGUGUAGCGGUGAAAUGCUUAGAUAUCACGAAGAACACCGAUUGCGAAGGCAGCUUACUAAACUGCCACUGACAUUGAUGCUCGAAAGUGUGGGUAUCAAACAGGAUUAGAUACCCCUGUAGUC